AGUAAGGUAAGAGUGGCUUUCAUAGUUCUAGUACUACUUGGUGUUUUUCUUUCUCUAUGUAAUGUACUAAUGUGAGUCUUAACGAUUAAAUGGGAGGCGAGAUGACAUCGUCGCUUUGACUCAAACGAACCGUCGGCGAGGCCGCCGCCUGCUGCGACGAUCGACCUGCGUAGGUCAUUUUCUAGGAUUUGAUAGGGUUAAUGUGACACACUCCCCGUAGGUUAUUUUCUAGGAUUUGAUAGGGUUAAUGUUCUACUCUUAUCAGGCAUGUACUUUAUUCUAAUCAAAUUUGAUAGGGUUAAUGUGACACAAUACUCGUAGGUCAUUUUCUAGGAUUUGAAAAUAACUCCUAGUACUUGUGUGCAGGCUGCUAAUAGUAGCAUACUUUGUUCUAAUCAAAAUUUCUAUGCAAUUCAAUCAGGAAAGCCACUCUGUUAGUAAUACAGAACUAGCAUUUAUUUAGACUGAAAAUAUGCACUGUAAUUUAAUGUGCAUUUUUGCCCAGUAAUGUGUAUUCCUUCUCUUUUUGGUUGCCUGAAUUUAAAGUGGUUUUGGACUGUAAUUUUCAGUAAUGUGUCACUUCUAGUUUACCUAAAUAUUUUUGUAUUCUUAUCAGUUGUGUGCCCCAUUCUAAAGAAGUUCAGUAAAUGUGUAAGUCCCAUUCUGUAAAUACAAUAUUUUACAAACCAUUUAGAUACAAAAACCUGAUCUUUGUUUUCUUUUUCACAAGAAGCUAUUUUUGGCUUACAUGAAGGGAUGCAUGUUCUUCAUCUUGCAGGUAUGACUCAUCCUCGCAUUCUUACUCCGGCUUUGUUUCCUUCGGCUUCUUGAUUCUGAAAUUUUAAGAUAAAUUGUAAGUACUCAGUAUCAUCUUCUUAAGCAAAGCUACUGUUUUUUGCUUGAAUUACAGUGUUUUGUCUGACCUAUGUAUAGUGUCAAUAAAAUCUAAAUUUAAAGAUGGAGAUACAUUUUUGGUGGCAUCUUACAUCACAGUAAUUUACAACCAAGAUAGGUUUACAAUGUCUUUUUGAUAGCAACUAUAAUGCAUAGCUGCAGAUUUUGUCGAACACACAUAUGUAUUUUGAAUGCAUGACAGAUACUGGGGUCAAAUAGAAUAACAAGUAAGUCAUUCAUUUUGUCUUCAUAUUUACUUGAAGGACUGCAUGUUCUUCAUCUUUGUAUGCCCCAUGUAUUUGCUCGUAAGCUUCAGUAGUGUUAUCUAUCUAGUCUGAUUUAUAUACUCCAUUCCUAAGCUGAAAUAUUUUUUGUAACUGAAAUAUAUAGUCUGAGUUUCAUUCAGUUAUUUGUCACUUUUUAACUGAAUAUCUUUUUGUAACUGAAAUAUCUGUGUACUUACAAUGCCUGUCUCAUAGGGCCCUUCCCAGCGAGACCUAAGUUUUAAUUGAAUAUCUUUUCUGUCGAUGGUCGUAGAAUUUUAGGAAAAAACACUGUAUAAGGAAUACAAUUGUUUAUGAAACUACUGUUGUUGGUUUAGCCAAACACCUCACAGUUUCCAAAACUACAGUUUUGUAGAAACCAUAGUAUUCUGAUUGAGCUAAGCUAGCCGUGUAUCUCCUCCUGUGGGAGUCAAGGUGCGUACGCUCCUUGUCUUUUCACUUUUUAUAUUAGAUUGAAUAACAAGAAUUGUCAAUCAACUGUAAAAAAAAUUAAUUACCAAUCUGCAUGCACUAGACAUAUAUCUUUCUCAUCAUUUUAGACAGUAGAAUGAUCUUUUUAUUUAGGAUUCAUGGUUAUUUUUUCUUUUUCUUGUUAUUAUGCAUUACUAUGAGUUCAUUGUAUUAAGAUUCCUUACAACUUUAGGCACCUGAGCUAUUUACAGAAGGAGGGGACCCAGCCUUCUUCACGGCUCGCGACAAUGUCUCCCAUUGAUUCGUUCGUGCAACAAGGAGGGGAGCCGCCCUUCUUCACGUCUCGUGCAACAAGGGUGCUCGACGUAGACUACCGCUGCCUGGUGGGCGUCGUGCUCUCCAAACACUCGGAGGUGGACUUCGCCGUGAAGCCCGGCGACCGCGUCGCACAAAUGAUCGUCCAGGUGAUCGUGACGCCGGAGGUCGCCGAGGUGGAGGACCUCGAUACCAUCGUUUGGGGGGAGGGGGGAUUGGGGUCCACCAGCAUCUGAACUCCGAGCCUUGGUAGAUACAUCUAGAGAAGUGGUAUGUUUAGGUUGCUGGUGGAACACUAGGAAAGGUACCCACCUUUGGUUGUGUGCGUUUACUGUUAAAUGGAAUCAAGUGAUCUCUUGCAGUUGAGAUGUUCAAUGUUGCAUCCAUGAAUGGUGCAAGUGUUAAGAUGGUCCUGUGACCUUAAUUUAUUUUGCACUGGACGUGUCUC